rnacentral:lncRNA from 1 species
CAAGCUUCGGUACAUUGUUUUGGAUCAGUAGUGCUUUGAAAACUACGUCGGAACUCCGGUAUCAAUCAUCCCAUCACUCGGUCUAUCCAUAGGUGUGUAUCCUGACUGUGGGAAAUUUCCCCCCAAAUUAUUGCCUGCAAUAUUCAACAACAGAUUACAUUAGUGUUACUCAAAUCUUGCAGAUGUUGGUGGACUGUAUAUUCUUCAGAUUACGUUUUACUUUAUGUGUUUGCUCCCGUGUGCUGGUAAGGGCACAGAUGAGACAGGUAGGAUUCCAGUUGAGGUGGUUUAAUAACGCUGAAGAUGCACAGGCAUGGAACAGCACCGCACACUGUAUGUAGUCGAUGGGCUAUAAGGCACUUAGUGGUCUGGCAUCUUGCUUCAGCCAAAGUGUGUGUGUGUGGUCUGCAAAUAAAGAGAGAAAUAAAGAUACAAUAGUGAAUGACAGAAUACAAAACACAUAUCCUAUAAACAAUAUGCAUGGCUAUAACAUGACUGUGACGACUUAAUGAUGUACAGGACCAUACAGCGCAAUAAAACGUGAAUGUGACUGCACUAAUUUAAGAUUAAAGUGGUGCCGCUGCACUAGUGAUAGGCAUUCCAGCUCUUUUCAGUGAGCCGGCUCGUUCGGCUCAGCUCACCAAAAAGUGCCGGCUCUUUUGGCCCCCAAACGACUCUUUAAAAAAUAUAUGUUUUGUAUUUUUUAAAGUCAGACAUUUAGCGAUAGUUUCACUAUGAUUGGUGUUAAACAAUUCUAAUUAAAUUAUUAAAUGAUAUCAUACUCUACCUUAACCACAAUGUAUUUAAAAAUGCAUUGGUUUGUUAUGAAAAAUAAUGCUAUUAAACAUUUGAAGUAUAACUUUUUAAUGUAUAUAAACAAAGUGCAUAUAAAUCUAACCAUUGAAAACGAAUACAAUCUGAACAGCAUAAUAUAAUAUUGCACCUUAUCAAAGAAAAAUAAAUAACAAUUUGGAAAACUGCAGCAUCCCACAAAUUGAAAUAAAUGUAAAAAAGAAGGAUGCUAUUACACAUGUGCAUUUAAAGUAUACAUUUUUUAAUGUAUAUAAACAAAGUGCAUAUAAAUGUAACAAUUCAAAACGAAUAUAAUCUGAACAAUAUAAUAAUAGAAUAUUGCUCCAUAUCAAAGAAAAAUAAAUAAUGUGCAAAACUGCAGCAUCCCACUUAAAACAUUAAACUGGUCCCUCUUUUCUCUCUCUUUAUUGUCAUGUUAUAACCAGCAGCACACAGCAAUGCUGACCAUAUUUAGCUUUUAUGAGAGAUUUUCAUUCAGAAAUGCAAGCUGCCUCACUUUUGUGGGGCUGAUGGGGUUUCUUCUCUCAGUAAUUAUUUGUCCCGUUUUCGAGAAGACCCUCUCAGAGGGAACGGAUGUGACCACUAUGCAGAGUCUCCCUGUCAUGACUUUAGUAAGCUGUGGGUAGACAGAGGCCUUGUUCUUUCACCAGCUCCAGGGGCUCCUCCAAAUAGGAUCGGACCUCCAUUAUGGCAUCUGCUGAGGGAUUCCUUCGUGCUGCAUCCCCAGUUGUUCUCUCAUCAAACAGCAUCCAAACAGCAGACGUUUGUGGCACUACUGCUGGUGCUUCUGCUCCAUCUGCUCCAUCUUCUUCCUGGUGCCUGAGCCAGCUGACUGCUGGGGCUGUCCCUCCCUGCUGCUGAGUGACCUGCUCAAAGGGUUCCAGGACUCUGCACACCUCAUUCACCACCUCCCAUUCCUCUUGGGCCAGAGCAUCAACAGGUGCAUUGUGACAAUGGCCAGGGUAGAGAUGAUGGCAUCCUUUGACUCAAGAAGCCGCUUCAACAUAUACAAUGUUGAAUUCCACCUUGUAGUGCAGUCUUGUUUAGGCCUCAGCUCAGGCAUCCCCAUCUGGCAUUGUGUAGACUAGUUUUUCAGCACUUACUGUGCUCCUGUGGUGGAAGUAUUCCACAGCUGCUUUCACUUUGUCCACAGUGGGCUUCAUCACCUUCAGAGCAUCUCUUACAAUCAGGUGAUUUUAAAAGGGUUUUCCUGCUUGGAAUUGUGUACAUUGGAUUUAGACUAUUGCUAUAAUUUCUAAAACCUCUGUCCUCUAUGUUCGAAAAUGGCUGGAAAUCAGUGGCAAUCAUUUUAGCCAAUGCAAUAUCAAUUUGGCCUUGUUUUGCUACAGACAUUGGCAUAAACUGGUCCAUAGAAGACUGCGUUUCUGUGGGUCACGGAGUAGGCCUACUUGACUGAGUGGAUACAUCUCCACAUGUGGAGGUGCAGGCUCCACCACUAUCACUAGCAGGCCCGCUAGUUUCUCGAAGCUCCGCUACAGCUAGCUUCACAGUUGGGUGCACAGUUCGCAUAUGCCGGUCUAGGUUUUGCGUAGAACCGGCUUUAUAUGAGAUUUUGUUUUGGCAAAUUCUACACUGUGCUCUAACAUUGUCUACAUUAUUAAAAUGCAUCCAACUGCUACUGUGCUUCCGACUCAUUUUCCAGCUGUUGCUUUCAUAGCUGCCCUUCCUCUGUCUUCUCGGCUGCUAAGUGUGUGACUGAGUUGGCUCGGCCCGGGGGGUGCUGAAGAUGGCGGCGAGUGCAGAUGAGAUUUCAGCUUGCUCCGAGUAACCUUAACGUUUAUCCCACUCAAACUUACUUAAAUGUAACGGAACUUGGCUUAUAGUAAACACAAUAGAGAACAACGCUUAGUUGACCGCUAAUUUGAUCUGAAACUUUGAGAAAUGGAAGAAAAAACUGUGCGAAAGAGCAAAGGGAGGAGAAGGCAGUUGCAAGCUGAGCACUCAUACGUUGGAGAAAAACCGACACCUGACUCCUCAGGAGAAGAAAUGGAGGAUUCUGGACAUUCGGUUGAUUCUGAAAAUCCAGUCAAUAGUCCCGCACCCAAAAAGACCCAGAAGGAAUUGUCUUUGCGCAAACUACAGGUCAACAUAAAUCGAUGCUGUCUCUGCAAAGAUAAACGAAAGAGACGAUGGUCUGGAGAAAAUGAUACGCUAAAACACGUAAAAAAAUAGUUGACCUCGAGACCUCUCUGAAUCAUGCAUACAAGAGUAUCGAAGCGCUUAAACUUGCAAACACUGCUACUUCUGAGAAAUGCACUGCACAGGAGAAGACCAUCGCAGACAUGCAAGAGCUCUUAUCGGAAGCAGAGCAAUACCGGAGAAGGUGGGGGCUACGGCUUUAUGGUGUCCCCGAGGACCAGGAUGAGAAUGUGAAGCGCUUAGUAAGAGACAUCUGUAACCGUGUGGCACCGGACUUCCCCGAUGGAUAUAUGGCUGUGGAUGUCGCUCAUCGUAUUGGGAAUAAGCAAGAUGCCAUCGUCAGGCACUCGAUCAUCAUCCAGUUUGCUUUUUGCACAGCGAGAGAUGCAGUUUGGAAGAAAGCAAAGGAAAGUGCCUUUCUGAAAGAGAGAAAAUUUAGAUUCGGUGAGGACUUGACUGCAGCAGACAAGGCAGCAAAGGCAAAAUUGUGGCCUCUUAUACAACAGGCCCGAAAUCAAGGAAAGGGUGGAUACUACAGGGGAAUUAGAGCCUUUUUCGCCGACGGAAAAUAAAUACGACCGGGGUGAUUUGUUCUGUCGGUGGGUUUACAAAGUAACUCCUUCCCCACUGCAAACUGAGCGUUCUAGUUUUGAAUUAUGGUGUUACUGUUUACAAGUUAAGACUUCUGUUAAUACAUAUAUGAAGCAACAUUUUAUAGAGAGGGUAGAGUUGAGAUUGCAUAGGAUUUUUCUUUCUAUUCUAUAGAUAUGGACUUGAAGUUUAUGUCAAUCAAUGCCAGGGGGAUACGAAACCUGUUGAAGAGAAAAAGCUUUUUUUGUUUUGUAAGGACUGCAACGCAGAUCUUGUAUUCGUUCAAGAAACACAUUCAUGCAAAGAGGACUAUAAUUAUUGGAAAAAUCAGUGGGGCAAUGUCAUUUCUUUGGCCCACGGGACUAAUCAUUCGUACAUUUUUGUUUACUCAAAUGGACUCCAAUGGACAUUGGCUAGUAGCGGUCAUCAACCACAUGGACAGAUUAUUUGUGUUGUGUAAUGUAUAUGGAUACUGUUCAAGUCCUCCAAAUAACUUACUUCUAGAGGAAAUUGAAGAAAUUCUUAAAAGUCUUCUGAGAAAAUAUCCAUCCAGUCAGAUUAUAGUUGAUGGAGAUUUUAAUAUGGUUUAUUCUAAUGAGACUGAUAGAUUGCCCCAUAGGCCUAACAUUGGUGUGAACAAAUUGGUGAAUUACUACCAAAGCCUGGAUUUAAUUGACAUAUGGAGAGUUAAAAACCCUGGAGAGAAACAAUACACAUGGAGUAAUAGAGAUCGUUCCUUACAAUGAAGAAUUGAUUUGUGGGUGAUAUCCUCUAGUCUUGAGCCCAACACUGUAGAGGUCAAAAUACAGCCUGCAGUCCUGACGGAUCAUAAAGUCAUAUGGUUGACUGUAAGAAUUAUGCAGUAAUGAUGGUAAGAAAUACUCUGGUGGUUAUUGGAAAUUACAUAACUCAUUGUUAUUGCAUGAUGAUUUAAAAAAUGUGAUUAAGAAUCUAAUUUCUGUUUACUGGAGUUUAGCUACAUCUAAUGCAGAAUAUGGGAAAUAUUGGGAACUGCUGAAAUUUAAAAUCCACUCAGCCUGUAUUACUUAUGGAAAACGGCUUGCUUUAAGGAGAUGUGAGGUAGCUGAACUCUCUAAGACAAUUGCGGAUGUCACAGAGAUUGAGCAUCUUGAUCUUAAUGAGAAAGCUAAAUUGAAUGAUUUACAGAAUCAACUAGAUACAUUGUAUGAGGAAAAGACUAGAGGAGCUUUCAUAAGAUCCAGAAAACAAUGGCUUGAAAAAGGCGAAAAGAACAGUAGAUACUUUUUUAAUUUGGAAAAGAGGAGAGGGGAACUCAACACACUUCGGAAACUUAAGAUUAAUGGGCUUACCACUGAGGAUAGAGAGUUGUUAUCAGACUUUAACACUACAUUUUAUGAGAAUCUUUACUCCUUAGAUAACAAUUUGAGUGACUCUAAGGAUCUCCUUGAUUCUAUAGAGAAUGUUAAUUCGGUUAGUGAAGUCUUGUUGUCAAGAUUUAUCCAUUAUGGACAUCCAGUACGGGGUUGCUCAGUUAAAAAAUAACAAAUCUCCAGGUUGUGAUGGAUUAACCUCUGAAUUUUACAAAACCUUCUCUGAAGAAAUAGCACAAUUUUUACUUGAAACCUUUAAGGAGGCUAUAAAGGGAGAACUAACUGCAUCUCUGAAGCAAGGGGUUUGUCACGCCCUGACCAUAGAGAGCCCUUGGUUCUCUAUGGUGUUUAGGUCAGAGCGUGACUAGGGGGGUGUUCUAGUCAUUGUAUUUGUAUGUUGGUGAGCUGUAUGGUUCCCAAUUAGAGGCAGCUGGUAAUCGUUGCCUCUAAUUAGGGAUCAUAUUUAGGUAGCCUGUUUCCCACCUGUGUUUUGUGGGAUAUUGUUUUGAGUGAGUGCAUGUAGCACUAUGGUACUUCACGGUCGUUGUUUGUUUCUUGGUUUGUUUAAGUUUCACUAAAAUAAAGAUGUGGAACUCCAAUCACGCUGCGCCUUGGUCCGUCUCUCCCAACAGCCAUGACAGAAUAUCCCACCACACAAGGACCAAGCAGCGUGUUCAUGAGAUAAAGGAGUUUUGGACAUGGGAGGAGAUCAUGGGAGGACACGAGACCCUUCCUUGGCGGAAGUCGCAGAGGACGCAGGAAGGACAGCGACAACGCCGGGGACUGCGGCCACAGAAACCCCAAGAUUUUUUUUGGGGGGGGCACAUGGGGCGGACGGCUGAGUAGCGGAGAGUGCCAGAGCCCGAAUGGGAGUCUCUGGAGGAGUUCAAUGAGGGAUACAGGAGAGAGGUUUUGGCUAGGAGUAUGCUGCAGCACAGGCGUGCUGAAGAGCGUGACACCAGUCUGGUGCCAUCUGUGCCAGCUCCUCGCACUCGCCCUGAAGAGCCAGAGACCGUCAGGGAGGCGAAGUGCGUGUCAACAGUCUGGUGCCACCUGUGCCGGCUCCACGCACUAGGCCUCCAGUGCGCCUCCCCAGUCUGGUAUGUCCUGUGCCAGCUCCCCGCACUCGCCCUGAAGUGCAUGUCAACAGUCCGGUGCCACCUGUGCUGGCUCCACGCACCAGGCCUCCAGUGCGCCUCCCCAGUCCGGUACAUCAUGUGCCAGCUCCCCGCACUCGCCCUGAAGUGCGUAUCACCAGUCCGGUGCCACCUGUGCCGGCUCCACGCACCAAGCCUCCAGUGCUCCUCCCCAGUCUGGUACGUCCUGUGCCAGCUCCCCGCAUUCGCCCUGAAGUGCGUGUCAACAGUCUGGUGCCACCUGUGCUGGCUCCACGCACCAGGCCUCCAGUGCGCCUCCCCAGUCUGGUACGUCCUGUGCCAGCUCCCCGCACUCGCCCUGAGUGCAUGUCAACAGUCCGGUGCCACCUGUGCUGGCUCCACGCACCAGGCCUCCAGUGCGCCUCCCCAGUUGGGUACGUCCUGUGCCAGCUCCUCGUACUCACCCAGAAGUGCGUGUCACCAGUCCGGUGUCACCUGUACUGGCUCCAUGCACUAAGACUCCAGCGACGGUCUACAGCCCGGAGCUUCCAGCGACGGUCUACAGCCCGGAGCUUCCAGCGACGGUUCACGGCCCGGAGCUUCCAGCGACGGUCAACGGCCCGGAGCUUCCAGCGACGGUCAACGGCCCGGAGCUUCCAGCGACGGUCAACGGCCCGGAGCUUCCAGCGACAGUCCACUGUCUGGAGCUUCCAAUGAUGGUCCACGGCCCGGAGCUUCCUGCGCCAGUGCCAGGGCAGGAGCCUUUCUCUGCGCCGGUGCCCAGUCCAGGCACGAUGUCCAGUCCCGCUCCAUGGCAGGAGCCUUUCUCUGCGCCGGGGCCCAGUCCAGGCACGGCGUCCAGUCCCGUUCCAUGGCCGGAGCCUUCCUCUGCGCCGGUGCCCAGUCCAGGCAUGGCGUCCAGGCACGGCGUCCAGUCCCACUCCAUGGCAGGAGCCUUUCUCUGUGCCGGGGCCCAGUCCAGGCACGGCGUCCAGUCCCGUUCCAUGGCCGGAGCCUUCCUCUGCGCCGGUGCCCAGUCCAGGCACGGCGUCCAGGCACGGCAUCCAGUCCCGCUCCAGGGCCGGAGUAUUCCUCUGCGCCAGUGCAGAGGGGGGGUACUGUCACGCCCUGAACAUAGAGAGCCCUUGGUGUUUAGGUCAGAGUGUGACUAGGGGGGUGUUCUAGUCAUUGUAUUUCUAUGUUGGUGAGUUGUAUGGUUCCCAAUUAGAGGCAGCUGGUAAUCGUUGCCUCUAAUUGUGGAUCAUAUUUAGGUAGCCUGUUUCCCACCUGUGUUUUGUGGGAUAUUGUUUUGAGUGAGUGCAUGUAGCACUAUGGUACUUCAUGGUCGUUGUUUGUUUCUUGGUUUGUUUAAGUUUCACUAAAAUAAAGAUGUGGAACUCCAAUUACGCUGCACCUUGGUCCGUCUCUCCCAACAGGAUCUCUUAAAUAUUGAUAAUUGCCGUCCAAUCACACUCCUAAAUAAUGACUACAAAAUUAUAGCCUUAGUCUUUGCAAAAAGGUUAAAGUCUGGCUUGAAUGAUCUGAUUGAUGAAUGUCAAUCAGGGUUUAUGAAAGGGCGCCAUAUAUCUGAUAAUCUGAGGCUGGUGUUAGACUUGGUUGAGUAUUGUGAUCUAUUGGAUGACUUCCCUGUUAUCCUAUUUUGGGAUUUUCAGAAAGCAUUUGAUACAGUAAGUCACAAUUUUAUCUUUGAUUGUCUUAAGCAUUUGAAAUUUGGUCGUUUUUUUGUUGAUGCUAUUAGAACUCUGUAUAAUGGUGGCAAUAGCUGUAUCAAACUCUGGUUUAACAUUUACAAAAGAAUACGACAAGGUUGUCCAAUUUCACCUUUUUUAUUUUUGUUAGUAUCUUAAAUGUUAUGCUCUUUAGUUCAUAAAAGUUCAUUUGAAGGCAUUACAUUCCAGGCCAGAGAGAUCAAGAUAUCCCAACUGGCGGAUGAUAACUCACCUUUUUUUUUUUAAAUGUGUCACAAGCUAGAUUAGCAUUGGAUAUUGUGAAGCAGUUCUCCAAAAUCUCGUGUUUGGCAUUAAAUCUUUCCAAAUGUGAGAUGUUUGUUUUGAAAGGAGCUGUCAAUCCAGCAGAUUGUAACAUCUCUGAAAAAGAUACUGUAAACUACCUCGGUGUAAAGAUCACCAAAAAUCUUAAGGCUGUGAAUGAUCUUAAUUUGAACCCUGUAACUGAAUCUGUCUUUAUCCUCAUGGUUAGUGAGGGAUUUAAGUCUUCAAGGAAGGGUGCUUUUAUCCAAAGCUGAUGGGCUCUUUUUUUCAUCUAUUGACAUUCCCAAAUCCACUUGCUGUACCUUAGAUAGGCUUUUGUACAACUUCAUAUGGAAAAACAAGCCAUAUAAGAUAAAAAGAGAUGUUAUCACCAACAAGGUUUGUGAUGGCGAUCUAAAUGUCUUAGACUUCACUCUCUUCAAUCAGAUAAAGGUCAACUGGAUUAAAAAGGUACAGAAAAAUCCUCAUAGUUUCUGGAAUAUUAUACCUCAUUUUGUUUUUCAGAAGUUCGGAGGGCUUAAUUUUUUACUACAAUGUCCAUAUAUUGUGGGUAAACUUCCUGUGAAACUGCCGGCUUUUCACAAGCAGGCUUUAAUUUUCUGGGCUUUGUUGUAUAAACACAACUUUUCACCUCAUAAAUGUUUUCUGCCACUAGCACAGUCAGCGUAGUCAGCUCAGCUUUCCCCAUUGAGAACGUGUCUGUGCCUCGAUCUAGGUUGGGCAAAAUUAAAAAUGGCAGUGUUCGCUUUAGCAAUCUCACUAGUAUAAAGACCUCCUCCAUUCCUGCCAUUAUUGAAAGAUAUUGUGAUACCUCACAUCUCAAAAUUGGGUUACUUAAUGUUAGAUCCCUCACUUCCAAGGCAGUUAUAGUCAAUGAACUAAUCACUGAUAAUAAUCUUGAUGUGAUUGGCCUGACUGAAACAUGGCUUAAGCCUGAUGAAUUUACUGUGUUAAAUGAGGCCUCACCCCCUGGUUACACUAGUGACCAUACCCCCCGUGCAUCCGGCAAAGGCGGAG